AUUGAACGCUGGCGGAAUGCUUUACACAUGCAAGUCGAACGGCAGCACGGGGCAACCUGGUGGCGAGUGGCGAACGGGUGAGUAAUGCAUCGGAACGUGCCCAGUCGUGGGGGAUAACGUAGCGAAAGCUACGCUAAUACCGCAUACGAUCUACGGAUGAAAGCGGGGGACGUCGCAAGAGCCUCGCGCGAUUGGAGCGGCCGAUGGCAGAUUAGGUAGUUGGUGGGGUAAAGGCUCACCAAGCCUGCGAUCUGUAGCUGGUCUGAGAGGACGACCAGCCACACUGGAACUGAGACACGGUCCAGACUCCUACGGGAGGCAGCAGUGGGGAAUUUUGGACAAUGGGCGCAAGCCUGAUCCAGCCAUUCCGCGUGCAGGAUGAAGGCCUCGGUU
rnacentral:rRNA from 1 species